CCAAUAGCGUAUAUUAAAGUUGUUGCAGUUAAAAAGCUCGUAGUUGAAUUUCGGGAUCAGUACGCUGGUCGUGCCUUGGUAUGUACUGGUGUUACUGGUUCCUACCUUCUGACGAACCGUCAUGUCAUUAAUUUGGUGUGGCGGGAAAUCAGGACUGUUACUUUGAAAAAAUUAGAGUGUUUAAAGCAGGCUCGCGCUCGAAUACAUUAGCAUGGAAUAAUGAAAUAGGACGUUCGAUCCUAUUUUGUUGGUUUCUAGGAUUGACGUAAUGAUUAAUAGGGAUAGUUGGGGGCAUUAGUAUUCAAUUGUCAGAGGUGAAAUUCUUGGAUUUAUUGAAGACUAACUACUGCGAAAGCAUUUGCCAAGGAUGUUUUCAUUAAUCAAGAACGAAAGUUAGGGGAUCGAAGACGAUCAGAUACCGUCGUAGUCUUAACCAUAAACUAUGCCGACUAGGGAUCGGAUGAUGUUAAUUUUUUAAUGACUCAUUCGGCGCCUUACG
rnacentral:rRNA from 1 species